CGGCCGUGCUGUCGCAGAACGUGGUCCUGAAUUUGUUUAUAUAUUUGUUAGAUGUACGAGCAACAGAAGAAAAUCUACCCUCUGCUCAUUGUUGGUGGUUCAGACUCGGGUCUUCGAUGCAAAUCAAUCAAGCGCCCCCAUCUUUAGUUAUUCUGUUUGGUGGUACGUGGAUCUGCUGGUGCACUGAAUGGGGAGCUGAUGAACCCGGCGUCUCGACAGAUAUACCUCAUCUUCCCGGCGGACAGCACCUUCCACGAGGAUGACAUCUCCAACUACUUCAGCAUCUGCGGUCCUGUCCACGAUGUGCGCAUCCCCUACCAGCAGAACCACAUGUUUGGGUUCGUCACCUUCGUCUACAAGGAGAAGGGCAAGGUCCGCAGCAAGUUCAGGCAAGC